rnacentral:misc_RNA from 1 species
ACCGAAGCUCGUAUCCGCCUCCGGGCGUGACGGGCGGCUGGUAUCCUCCUUCUGAGGAGUAUAUGCCGCAGCGUGGGCAGGCCUUCGGGUCAUGAAUUCCCAACGUUGCGGCGGACCACUCCUUGGGCAACUCAGUGGGGGCAAUUGGAUCGUCCAUGGGCACCUUUGGCGGCUUUGGCCCUAGGGGUGACCUGGGCUGGGCGUUGGGCUUCGGUUCACGUCCUGACCUCUUAACUAACCCUGACCCCUUCUUUCAUGGAAGGUUGCCGGUGGUCCUUUCACCCUUUGGGGCGGAGUGGCCUCCCGGUUAAGAUAGUUACCUGGUUGAUUCUGCCAGUAGUCAUAUGCUUGUCUCAA